UCUUCUCUCACCAUCCAUAAUGGCUAGAUGCCCAGUCCCUCUUCUUCUCCUACUGCUGCUGCCACUACUUCUCUUCCCCAUAUGAUAUCCACUUCAGCUGAUGUGUUCCUUAGCAUAGACUGUGGAUCAUCGGACGCCUACUCCGAUGAGCUCGACAUCGAUCACAUGGGUGGGAGACGAGAACUACAUCCAGAACGGCCAAAGCCUGACCUUAAAAGACCCUGGCUCGGUUCGAUUCCAGGAGGAAGAACUGCUAUCCUAUAGGUCUUAGUGGUGGAGGCCGAAUCCUCGUUCGAGCUAGCUUUUACUACGGCAAUUGCGACGGGAAGUCGUCGCGCGCCGCCGAGCUUUGGGCUCCAGUAUAAUUGAUGCGAACAGUUGGACGACGAUGGAGAGCGGUGCGGUACGAGGCCGUCUACGUGGUGAACGGGGACGCAACGAGCGUGUGCAUGGCCCAGACCCAGCCCAACCGGCUGCCCUUCAUCUCCCCGAUCGAGGCGAGGAGCUUGGACUCCGGCAUGCAUGCCAAGGUGGACCCCAUCUAUGCCUUGCUCUUGAGAAGAAGGGUGGCCUCCGGUGCUAGUGAUACUAUGAUGCUAUCCAGAUGAUUUAUAUGGCCGUAUAUAUGAGAUCCAAGCGUUGUACCCAACGGGCGCGGAGCACUCAUUAGCGACCCCAGUAUCUACAUCAAUGCAUGUGAUAGUUCUCCGGCGACCGUGCUAGAGACUGCAGUGGCACCAACGGAUGUAUCAAGCUCUGUUCCGCUUUCACCGAGGUGUCUUCGCUCAGCUCCACUCGGAAACGAUCAUUUGAGAUCUAUGUGGAUGGCGAGCACUCCGAUCCCAUAGUACCACCUUAUCAGGAUAUAUCAGAAUAUUUCAUCAAUGGGACGGCGAAAUCCAGCACGGCGUUUACAUUGGUGGCUACAACAGUCUCGACUCUUCCGCCUAUUAUCAGUGCAAUGGAGAUUUUGUCGUUAAGUGAUGUGCUAAGCAAUGGGACAAACUCCAAUGACGGUAGAUCUUCGUCCCAAUUUUGAUUUCACCCUCCAUGAGAAUGGUUGAAAUGGAGACGCUUGCUCUGCUGCAACAAUAAUUUGAAGUACUCCAGUAGGAUUAGAGCAGUGAUCCGUCCCUCCCAGCCUCUUACAACUGGGAUUAGCUGAACUGUAGCUCUGAUGAAACACCUCGAAUCACUGCCUUAUAUCUUUCUGGCUUUGGGCUCUCUAGUAUUCUCCCAGACUUCAGCGCAUUGGAUGCUCUAGAAAUUAUAGACUUGAACAACAACAGCUUCGGUGGAGAUAUUCCAGAAUUCUUAGGCAACUUUCCCAACCUACAGGAGCUGCCAAAUGAAUGGGCUCGGUAAGCCUACUGAAUCGACUCAGGUGGCACCCAUGAGUGGGACGAAUCCUCACCUCAUAAAUAAUGAACAUAGGGUGGAGAUUGCGGAGCAAAUGGGGUCAGAGCUCGCAGUUCUGAUGGAGCAGCAGGCACAAGCAAAUCAAGAUGGAAGUAACCCCAGGGUGCAGCAGAAAUUGUUGAACAAGUUGGCCGGGCAAUGAUUGAGGCAGUUAAAAGGCAGCAUUCUUAGUGAAGUAUAACAACGAACUUUUGAUGUCGUGUCAUCACCAGUGGUGGCCCGCGGCCCUCCCCGCCCGUCCACGACAGCAGCAUGCGGAAGAAGAAACAACGAGGAUUGGUAGAAGAAUGGAGCCAUGGUGCAUGCUGGAUUGCAAUCCUGGAUAGUGGUAUAUAUAUAGUUUUCUCUCGCGUGACAUGGAUCCUGCUCUUGGAUGAAUGCACAUCAGGCAUCAUAUGUUGUUCUGCUUUGUGCUAUAAUCCAAAUAUUCUUCUUCUUCUUCUUCUUUUAAUGCCGCCCAUCAGUCUAUGCUGUUAUGUCCAACAAGCUAGUGAAUUCAAAACAAUGGAAGCUGGUCGGUGAGUUAGUGGACUCUGGUGGCCAUUCAGGCAGAUCAACUCUAUGUAAGUGCUUAGAAGAUUGCAAUCUAAAACUGCCAUUACUAUAGGAAGCAAGUUGAUUCUUCGGCAGGGUUUUGGUCAGUGUCCAUAGAUUGGUCAGUGCCCAU